CUUUGGAGAAUUAUUCUUUCCUUGUUAGUCUGCUUUGUAAACUUAAUUUCUUUUCCUUCUCAAACUUUUAAACUCCAAAAUUAUUUUAUUUUUUGUUGGGUCCCACUAGCUAAUGUGGUAUUAGUUCUUAAAGGUUUUUUUUUCUCUCCUCUUAAGUUUUGUAGCCAGCAUUAUUGCACUAAAUGGAUUGUGAGCACUUUACUUUUCCAGGGAGCUGGAGUUGCAGAUCAUUUUGUUGCCCAGAACCUCUCUGGAGAAAGUGAACAGAAAACCAGCUGCACUCGUAUUUGCAUCUGUCUGAGCCAGGUCUGCCCUGAACCACUGCACUGCUCUGUUACAGUAACUCACAGCCAGGAGUCACAACUCGGACAAGGGGAGCCGGCCAAAGGCAGCUGGCAGAGGAUGUGCCGCUGCUGCAGGCAGAGCACCUGGAAACAAUGGCACACCCGGGGAACUCCCUCCUGGAAUGCUCCUGUAGCUGCAUUAGAGCAGCAAAGCCUCUUCUGUGCACCACAUGGCAACAGUGAGCUGUGACUGAGAGGAGUCUGGAGAAAGCAGCAGAUGGACGGUGCAGAGUGCAGAGGCAAUGGGUUUUGCCUUCACAUACUGCUUGUGGAGUGUUUUGGCAGGAGCAAGAACCUCUUGCCCCUGCUCAGGUAAGAGCUUUAUUAUUUUGCCUUUUAUUAAAACUCUUCUGUUUCCAACACUACCUGAGAAGCCAUCCUGCUGAUUUUGUGCCAUUCCAGGUAGCUGAGCUAUCUGGGGUGUGAUGGGUUCUCUGAGAGCUCUUAAGACCUGGCUUGAGGAGGAAGCUCCUGUUACGAAGUGCACAUCCAGGAUUCUGGACUGGGUUAGGGACCACUGUUGGUUUUUAAUCUUAUGGAAUAUCAGAGAAGAACAAAAAAAAAUGUCUUGGGAUCUCUCACUGAAGUGUUACUACACCCUGGAAUGGAAAUCAUCUCAGUCAGGCUGGAGCUCCUGAGUUUCUCAGGUUUCUUUCACCACUGUGGACUCUUCUCAUCUGCCUCUUUCUUCCAGGAGAAAAAAAACCCAAUAACAAACAAACAAACAAAACCCCAAACCAAAACAAAACACAAAAAACCCCAAAAAAGCUGUUUUAGGUAGUUCAGCUGCUUUAGGAAGUGCCACUCAAGGCAUUCUGGGUUCUUCUCUUAGUCCAAACCAUUCUCACCCUUCAAAACUUUUAGACACUUCUGAGUUAUUCUUGCUCCUUUACAGGGUUGAAAUGGCUUCCUUUGGAUCACUGCAGUUGUAGCAGUCUCUGGGAUGUCUGUAUCAGUAGAUUUAUUCCAAGUAUUGCACAUUUGGGAUGCUUCCAUUUUGACCCAGAGAAAAUAUUCCCCCCAGCAUGAGAUGAUGUAACAGGGGUUUGAAAUGGCAAAAUGACAGUGGAAAAGGCUCCUUUCCUCUUUUUUAUUUGCUUGUUUGCCUCACUCAUCCCACUUUCACAGGAAAAUCUGUCUAUCCUUAUCUGCUCUUUUUGUCUCUCCUCUGUGCCUUUCUCAUGAUCCCUCUUUGUUUUUAUUCUCUGUUACUCUGGCUGAAACCUGGCUCAAGCCUUU
rnacentral:lncRNA from 1 species